GGUGGGGUUCCCGAGCGGCCAAAGGGAGCAGACUGUAAAUCUGCCGUCAUCGGACUUCGAAGGUUCGAAUCCUUCCCCCACCACCA
rnacentral:tRNA from 1 species